UGCCACUUUGUAGAUGCUCCUACUGGUU
rnacentral:piRNA from 1 species